GGGUCAGUAGGUUGGUCGUGCCACCGGUACGUACUGGUCUCACUGAUUCCUCCUUCCUGAAGAACCGUAAUGCCAUUAAUUUGGUGUUGCGGGGAAACAGGACUGUUGCUUUGAAAAAAUUAGAGUGUUUAAAGCAAGCUAACGCUUGAAUACAUUAGUAUGGAAUAAUGAAAUAGGACGAUCGAUCCUAUUUUGUUGGUUUCUAGGAUUGACGUA
rnacentral:rRNA from 1 species